rnacentral:rRNA from 1 species
UGGGGAAUUUUGGACAAUGGGCGAAAGCCUGAUCCAGCAAUGCCGCGUGUGUGAAGAAGGCCUUCGGGUUGUAAAGCACUUUUGUCCGGAAAGAAAUCCUUGGCUCUAAUACAGUCGGGGGAUGACGGUACCGGAAGAAUAAGCACCGGCUAACUACGUGCCAGCAGCCGCGGUAAUACGUAGGGUGCAAGCGUUAAUCGGAAUUACUGGGCGUAAAGCGUGCGCAGGCGGUUUGCUAAGACCGAUGUGAAAUCCCCGGGCUCAACCUGGGAACUGCAUUGGUGACUGGCAGGCUAGAGUAUGGCAGAGGGGGGUAGAAUUCCACGUGUAGCAGUGAAAUGCGUAGAGAUGUGGAGGAAUACCGAUGGCGAAGGCAGCCCCCCUGGGCCAAUACUGACGCUCAUGCACGAAAAGCGUGGGGGAGCAAAACAGGAUUAGAUACCCUGGUAGUCCACGCCCUAAACGAUGUCAACUAGUUGUUGGGGAUUCAUUUCCUUAGUAACGUAGCUAACGCGUGAAGUUGACCGCCUGGGGAGUACGGUCGCAAGAUUAAAACUCAAAUGAAUUGACGGGGUCAUAGCUGUUUCCU